UACGGGGGGGGCGAGCGUUGUCCGAAGUUACUGGGCGUAAAGCGCGUGUAGGCGGGUUGUUAAGUCCGCUGUGAAAGCCCGGCGCUCAACUCCGGAAUUGCCUUUAAGACUGCAUCGCUAGAAUUGUGGAGAGGUAAGUGGAAUUCCGAGUGUAGAGGUGAAAUUCGUAGAUAUUCGGAAGAACACCAGUGGCGAAGGCGACUUACUGGACACAUAUUGACGCUGAGGUGCGAAAGCGUGGGGAGCAAACAGG
rnacentral:rRNA from 1 species